UACAGAGGGGGCAAGCGUUGUUCGGAAUUACUGGGCGUAAAGGGCGCGUAGGCGGCCUGCUAAGUCGAACGUGAAAUCCCCGGGCUCAACCCGGGAACUGCGUCCGAUACUGGUUGGCUUGAAUCCGGGAGAGGGAUGCGGAAUUCAAGGUGUAGCGGUGAAAUGCGUAGAUAUCUGGAGGAACACCUGUGGCGAAAGCGGCGCACUGAACCACAUCUGACGCUGAGGCGCGAAAGCUAGGGGAGCAAACAGG
rnacentral:rRNA from 1 species